rnacentral:rRNA from 1 species
AUGAAUACGAGGGAAGAUGGUUACUUGCUCCCUGAUGUUAGCGGCGGACGGGUGAGUAACACGUGGGUAACCUGCCUGUAAGACUGGGAUAACUCCGGGAAACCGGGGCUAAUACCGGAUGGUUGUCUGAACCGCAUGGUUCAGACAUAAAAGGUGGCUUCGGCUACCACUUACAGAUGGACCCGCGGCGCAUUAGCUAGUUGGUGAGGUAACGGCUCACCAAGGCGACGAUGCGUAGCCGACCUGAGAGGGUGAUCGGCCACACUGGGACUGAGACACGGCCCAGACUCCUACGGGAGGCAGCAGUAGGGAAUCUUCCGCAAUGGACGAAAGUCUGACGGAGCAACGCCGCGUGAGUGAUGAAGGUUUUCGGAUCGUAAAGCUCUGUUGUUAGGGAAGAACAAGUGCCGUUCAAAUAGGGCGGCACCUUGACGGUACCUAACCAGAAAGCCACGGCUAACUACGUGCCAGCAGCCGCGGUAAUACGUAGGUGGCAAGCGUUGUCCGGAAUUAUUGGGCGUAAAGGGCUCGCAGGCGGUUUCUUAAGUCUGAUGUGAAAGCCCCCGGCUCAACCGGGGAGGGUCAUUGGAAACUGGGGAACUUGAGUGCAGAAGAGGAGAGUGGAAUUCCACGUGUAGCGGUGAAAUGCGUAGAGAUGUGGAGGAACACCAGUGGCGAAGGCGACUCUCUGGUCUGUAACUGACGCUGAGGAGCGAAAGCGUGGGGAGCGAACAGGAUUAGAUACCCUGGUAGUCCACGCCGUAAACGAUGAGUGCUAAGUGUUAGGGGGUUUCCGCCCCUUAGUGCUGCAGCUAACGCAUUAAGCACUCCGCCUGGGGAGUACGGUCGCAAGACUGAAACUCAAAGGAAUUGACGGGGGCCCGCACAAGCGGUGGAGCAUGUGGUUUAAUUCGAAGCAACGCGAAGAACCUUACCAGGUCUUGACAUCCUCUGACAAUCCUAGAGAUAGGACGUCCCCUUCGGGGGCAGAGUGACAGGUGGUGCAUGGUUGUCGUCAGCUCGUGUCGUGAGAUGUUGGGUUAAUUCCCAACGAGUGCAACCCUUGGUUUUAUUGGAAAGAUUU